AUUGAACGCUGGCGGCAUGCUUUACACAUGCAAGUCGAACGGUAACAGGGAGCUUGCUCCGCUGACGAGUGGCGAACGGGUGAGUAAUGCGUCGGAACGUGCCGAGUAGUGGGGGAUAACGCAUCGAAAGGUGUGCUAAUACCGCAUACGAACUGAGGUUGAAAGUGGGGUACCUUCGGGCCUCACGCUAUUCGAGCGGCCGACGUCUGAUUAGCUAGUUGGUGAGGUAAAGGCUCACCAAGGCGACGAUCAGUAGCGGGUCUGAGAGGAUGGUCCGCCAAACUGGGACUGAGACACGGCCCAGACUCCUACGGGAGGCAGCAGUGGGGAAUUUUGGACAAUGGGCGCAAGCCUGAUCCAGCCACGCCGCGUGUCUGAAGAAGGCCUUCGGGUUGUAAAGGACUUUUGUCCGGGAGCAAAUACCCAGUGCUAAUAACGCUGGGGGCUGAGAGUACCGGAAGAAUAAGCACCGGCUAACUACGUGCCAGCAGCCGCCGUAACAC
rnacentral:rRNA from 1 species